ACGGGGCCCGCACAAGCAGUGGAGUAUGUGGUUUAAUUCGAAGCAACGCGAAGAACCUUACCAGGGCUUGACAUCCCUUGAAGCAGCUAGAGAUAGCUGUGUCCUUCGGGACAAGGAGACAGGUGGUGCAUGGUUGUCGUCAGCUCGUGUCGUGAGAUGUUGGGUUAAGUCCCGCAACGAGCGCAACCCCUAUUGUUAGUUGCCAUCAUUCAGUUGGGCACUCUAGCGAGACUGCCGGUAAUAAACCGGAGGAAGGUGGGGAUGACGUCAAAUCAUCAUGCCCCUUAUGACCUGGGCUACACACGUGCUACAAUGGUUGGUACAACGAGUUGCGAGUCGGUGACGGCGAGCUAAUCUCUUAAAGCCAAUCUCAGUUCGGAUUGUAGGCUGCAACUCGCCUACAUGAAGUCGGAAUCGCUAGUAAUCGCGGAUCAGCACGCCGCGGUCGAAUACGUUCCCGGGCCUU
rnacentral:rRNA from 1 species